CGAGGUCAAAUGGAGUAACAGAAACCCGGCUUUUGGAUUUCAGGUGAAAGACGACCUUCGCAAAAGGAGAGAUACUUCCUUGGGUAGCCAAUCCCUAAAACUGCCCUUUGAUGCCCUUACACGGACGCUUCUUGCAUGGUGGGGGAUCGUGCCAUAUCCCAUUUCAUGUGCAAGGGCAAAGCAGAUUAGACGGCACCCUACAAUUUAUCUGUACGAAAGGCGAAUACUU
rnacentral:sRNA from 12 species